UUAAAUUAGAUAAGCUCUCCAAACCAAUUUAAAAACAUUUGGUGGACUUAAACAGAUGGAAUUUAAAAACACAUGUCAGGAAUUGGACAGGAGAGCUGAGAAAAGAGGCCCAUGUUGCCAGCGUUGCGUUUGAAGGGGUUCCAUAUGAACGGCUGCGUUUGAUGAGCUCACACUGGCGGUUUUACCAACUCCCGUGGACAUCAUCAGGGAUGGCGUGACUUCAGGAUUUUUACUCCGUUUCUGCCCACUGCCUUUCAGACUUCCAGACGCUAGCUUCCAGGCUGGUGGAGGUCCGUGGGAACCUAAUAUACUUAUGUCAAUGCCAUUUUCUUUUGUUUCAUAGAAAAUAUAACCCUUCUGAUAUCUAACAUUUGCUUCCAGUUA